rnacentral:rRNA from 1 species
GCAGUCGAACGAUGACCACUUCGGUGGGGAUUAGUGGCGAACGGGUGAGUAACACGUGGGCAAUCUGCCCUUCACUCUGGGACAAGCCCUGGAAACGGGGUCUAAUACCGGAUAUCACUGCCACUCGCAUGGGUGGUGGUUGAAAGCUCCGGCGGUGAAGGAUGAGCCCGCGGCCUAUCAGCUUGUUGGUGAGGUAAUGGCUCACCAAGGCGACGACGGGUAGCCGGCCUGAGAGGGCGACCGGCCACACUGGGACUGAGACACGGCCCAGACUCCUACGGGAGGCAGCAGUGGGGAAUAUUGCACAAUGGGCGAAAGCCUGAUGCAGCGACGCCGCGUGAGGGAUGACGGCCUUCGGGUUGUAAACCUCUUUCAGCAGGGAAGAAGCGAAAGUGACGGUACCUGCAGAAGAAGCGCCGGCUAACUACGUGCCAGCAGCCGCGGUAAUACGUAGGGCGCAAGCGUUGUCCGGAAUUAUUGGGCGUAAAGAGCUCGUAGGCGGCUUGUCACGUCGGGUGUGAAAGCCCGGGGCUUAACCCCGGGUCUGCAUUCGAUACGGGCUAGCUAGAGUGUGGUAGGGGAGAUCGGAAUUCCUGGUGUAGCGGUGAAAUGCGCAGAUAUCAGGAGGAACACCGGUGGCGAAAGCGGAUCUCUGGGCCAUUACUGACGCUGAGGAGCGAAAGCGUGGGGAGCGAACAGGAUUAGAUACCCUGGUAGUCCACGCCGUA